GGGAUUAUAGCUCAGUUGGUCAGAGCAUGCCUCUGAUAAUGGCAAGGUCGAUAGUUCAAAUCUAUCUAAUCCCA
rfam:Candidatus Carsonella ruddii DC, complete genome.